rnacentral:lncRNA from 1 species
AAUCAAUAAAAUAACUUCAGAAUAUUUCAGAACUACCAUUUAAACUGUACCAGGUAUAUAGGAAGAAAUUUCUUAGGACACAAAAGGAAUGAAUUAUAAAAGAAUAAGUUGAACUUUUCAAAUAUAAAAGCUCUUGCCCUUUUAAACACCAUUAGGAAAAUGAAAAGGAGAGGCAUAGAAUGGGAAGAAAUAUUUACAAUAGGUAUCUGACAAGAGAUUUGUCUCCUGAAAAUAAUAAAAACUUAAACCCAUUAUACAACAGCCCAAUAAAAAUAGCAGUAUACCUGAACAGAAAUAAUUCACAAAAUAAGUUAUAAAAUGGCCAAGAAGGAAUUUCAACAUCAGCCAUAGAAGAAACACAAAUUAUUAAAACGGUGAGACACCUUUCCACACCCAUUAAAAUGAUUGGCACUGCCAAACACUGGAAAGUAUUGAGAACAUGGCAGUCGUAAAUGGCAGAAAUACUUGAAAAUGGUUUGUCAUAUUCUUACAAUUUUCAUAUAUGAAGCUACCACAAAACCCAGAGAUUCUACUUUGGAAUGUAACACAAUAGAAAUAAAAACUUACGUCCAUCCAAUACUUGAACAUGAAUGUUGAUAACUAUUCAUGAUAGACUAAAAGUGGAAAUGAUUUACGUGUCCAUCAAGGGAAUAGUGUGGUAUAUUCAUAAAUAUAAAACUAUACUACAAGGCAAUAAAAAGGAACAGAUUACUGAUAAAUGUAACAAUGUGGAUGGAUUACACAGUUAUUUUGAUUAAGGAAAAACAGACACAAGAGUAUUGUAUGAUUGCAUUUACAUGAAAUUUUAGAAAUGCAAAAUAAUAAAAAAGAUUGGUAGUUGCCUGGGACUCAGGAAAGGAGGGACUCUUCUUGGGAUGAUACAAAUGUGGAGUGCUUUUUGGUGGUUGUGAGUACACAAAUGUCAGAAUGCAAUGAGUUGAACAUUAAGUGGACUGAAUGUAAAUUAUAUCCCAAUAAAGUUGAUUCUAAAAACUGAACAUGAAAAGAUGGACCCACAUCUGAACUGAUCAUGUUUAAAGGUAACUGUUGACUUCACAUCAUUCCAGUUUAUGGAGAGAGACUUUUUUUUUCUCCAGUGUGUUUCGUUGUCUCCCCUGAUUGCUUCAUUGCAGCUUUACAACGUGC